AGAAUGAACGCUGGCGGCAUGCCUAACACAUGCAAGUCGAACGAAGCCUUCGGGUUUAGUGGCGCACGGGUGCGUAACGCGUGGGAAUCUACCCCUUGGUUCGGAAUAACAGUUGGAAACGACUGCUAAUACCGGAUGAUGACGUAAGUCCAAAGAUUUAUCGCCGAGGGAUGAGCCCGCGUAGGAUUAGGUAGUUGGUGUGGUAAAGGCGCACCAAGCCGACGAUCCUUAGCUGGUCUGAGAGGAUGAUCAGCCACACUGGGACUGAGACACGGCCCAGACUCCUACGGGAGGCAGCAGUGGGAAUAUUGGACAAUGGGCGAAAGCCUGAUCCAGCAAUGCCGCGUGAGUGAUGAAGGCCUUAGGGUUGUAAAGCUCUUUUACCCGGGAUGAUAAUGACAGGUACCGGGAGAAUAAGCUCCGGCUAACUCCGCGCCAGCAGCCGC
rnacentral:rRNA from 1 species